AGGUGGAUUGCGCAACAAGGGGAAUAGACAUAACCCUACUGAACUGUACACUUACAAAUAGUUAAGAUGGUAAGUAUACAGUUCAGCAGGGAGCCUGCUU